ensembl:lncRNA
AAGCUCUUCAGGAGAGACUGUCAGAGAAGAUGAGGAGGGAGGAUGCCGUUUGUGUGAAGGGGCAGCUCGGAUGUGUGGAGCUCUUCCAUGGGAGAGGCAAGGGUUUGGGUGAGAGCUUGUGGGUGAGCAUCACAGUAGGGGUGACAUCAUGAUGGGAGCUACAGACCACCUAAUCAGGGUAAGGAGGCAGAUGCAGUCUCCUUUAAGCAAUGUGAGCAAGUCUGUGGAUCACACUCCCUGGUUCUUGUCAUGGGGACUUUAAUCCCCCUACAUGAACUGGAAGGCCAAACAGCAGAGCGCAAGCAGGCCAGGAGGUUUCUGGAGGGCAUCAGGGACAACUUCUUYGCACAGCUGCCAGAUGGGCCGAUAAGGGUGAUGUUUUCUUGUAUCUGGAAAUUUCAAAAAGAGAGGAACUGAUCAGGGAUGGGAUAGUAGGAGAAAGGCUAUUGUUUCAUCCAUCUUCAAAAAAGGCCACAGGGGCAACCUGGGGAGCUGCAGGCAGUUGGUGAGGAGUGCCUCACGUUGGUGAGGAGUGAGUCAUGCAGCGAAUCCUUUCAGAUCACAUUUCUGGGCACAUGAAGGAGAAGAAGGUGACUGGGAACAGUUAGCAUGGAUUUACCCAGGGUAAACUGUGCCUCGCCAACCUGAUUGCCUGAUAUGAAUAAAUAACUCUAUUUGUGGAUGGAGAAGAGUAAAUGUCUUUUUCCUAGACUUUAGAGAGGUGUUUGACAUUUUUUCCACAAUAUUCUUGCAUGCACGUCAGAACGUUUCAGUCUAGAAGAGUAGACAACCAGAAGGGUAAAAAGCUGCUUGGAUGACCAGAGGCUCAGAGGGCAGUGGUGAAUGGGUAGUACUCUUCCUGGAGGCCAGGGAGAAGUGGAACACCACAGGGUCUCUCCAGGGACUUGUCCUGUUUAUCAUCUAUCAAUCAGUUACACGCAGGAGGCAACACUCAUCAUGCUUAUAGACGACCCCAAACUGGAGGCGGGGGGGGAGGGGGGUUGGCUUGGCAUCACAGCCACCCUCACAUUGCCUUUGCCUACCUGCAAUCAGGGCCUCCAACUUUCUGCUCUAAUCAGCCCCUGGGGAGGCUUUGUCAGUAAUGGCCCUCAGUGGGACCCAUUAACGCUCCAAGAAACUUGGUGAUUUGCUUCUGACUUGAACUUCUUGAGAGGUUUCUUCAGUCUCCUCUCAGCAUCUGAGGUUCAUGGAAUCAGCACCAAAAACAUCUGAGGGGGUCAUUAAAAUGCAAAAACCCCUAAGGGGCCAUGCCUCUCCCCAUAAUUUUCUUCAGCUCUUCACUUCUUGUGCUGUGGCUAAUUGGAGAGUUUGCAGGAGUGUAUUGAAAUAAGGCAGAUUUCAAUGAGCACCUGAAAAAGAAAGAUGUCUGCUUCUUAGGCUUUCUUUAUUCUUCAGUUCUCAGAAUAAGUCAUACCCAUAAUUUUCCAAUUCAUACUGGCCGACAGUGUCUCCUAAUGAGGUCUGGACAUGUAGGAAAAGCACCAUCCUCGAGGUCAGACAUCCAUGGAAAAUAUUCCUCCCCAGCUCCCCAGCCCUGCCACUUCUCUCAUCAGCCACUGGGGACUUCGAUCACUCUUGUUCAAAUCUAACCAUUUGCCACUCAAGGCUGCAGCUGAAUGUUACAGCUCAUGUGCACCAAUUCCCACCUGCUUUCCUUAGAGAACUAGCUGCAAACAGGCACAGAAGGAUUUGUCUUAAUUGCCAUCAAACACAAACAAUCUUAAUCCAAUGUCACAAGAAAUAAAAUAGACUCCUCAACUGUAUGUCA